rnacentral:rRNA from 1 species
GAUGAACGCUGGCGGCGUGCCUAAUACAUGCAAGUCGAGCGAAUGGAUUAAGAGCUUGCUCUUAUGAAGUUAGCGGCGGACGGGUGAGUAACACGUGGGUAACCUGCCCAUAAGACUGGGAUAACUCCGGGAAACCGGGGCUAAUACCGGAUAACAUUUUGAACCGCAUGGUUCGAAAUUGAAAGGCGGCUUCGGCUGUCACUUAUGGAUUGACCCGCGUCGCAUGAGCUAGUUGGUGAGGUAACGGCUCACCAAGGCAACGAUGCGUAGCCGACCUGAGAGGGUGAUCGGACACACUGGGACUGAGACACGGCCCAGACUCCUACGGGAGGCAGCAGUAGGGAAUCUUCCGCAAUGGACGAAAGUCUGACGGAGCAACGCCGCGUGAGUGAUGAAGGCUUUCGGGUCGUAAAACUCUGUUGUUAGGGAAGAACAAGUGCUAGUUGAAUAAGCUGGCACCUUGACGGUACCUAACCAGAAAGCCACGGCUAACUACGUGCCAGCCGCCGCAGUAA